AAGGCAUGUGUGCUUCUCAGUACUGGAAUUAAAGGCAAGUUUUAUUGGGGUGCACAAUAUAUCACCACAGUCCAUGUUGACUCUGAAGAGAUGUGUCAUCAACUCACAAGGUACCGGAAGCUUGCCUCCUAUGAUGAAGUAUUUGCAAUCCAGAAGUUUCCAUGAGUGUCUCUAAAGCCUUCUACUGAGGUCAUGACCAUCAUCUUGUUGGCUGACUCAAAGUGAGAAGCUGGACUGGAAUUGGCUGCACUGGCCCCAGGAAGAGCAAAGAAAGAACCCAAAAGCUUGAGGCCACUUAACACAGAGAAGAGGCAGUUUUAGGAAU